GGCCGUGGCUUAGUGGUAGAGUGCUUGCCUUGUAUGUGUGAGGCACUGAGUUCCAUCCUCAGCACCA
rnacentral:tRNA from 1 species